AUUGAACGCUGGCGGCAGGCUUAACACAUGCAAGUCGAGCGGAGAUGAGGUGCUUGCACCUUAUCUUAGCGGCGGACGGGUGAGUAAUGCUUAGGAAUCUGCCUACUAGUGGGGGACACCAUUCCGAAAGGAAUGCUAAUCCCGCAUACGCCCUACGGGGGAAAGCAGGGGAUCUUCGUACCUUGCGCUAAUAGAUGAGCCCAAGUCGGAUUAGCCAGUUGGUGGGGUAAAGGCCUACCAAGACGACGAUCUGUAGCGGGUCUGAGAGGAUGAUCCGCCACACUGGGACUGAGACACGGCCCAGACUCCUACGGGAGGCAGCAGUGGGGAAUAUUGGACAAUGGGCGGAAGCCUGAUCCAGCCAUGCCGCGUGUGUGAAGAAGGCCUUUUGGUUGUAAAGCACUUUGAGCGAGGAGGAGGCUACCUGGAUUAAUACUCUAGGAUAGUGGACGUUACUCGCAGAAUAAGCACCGGCUAACUCUGUGCCAGCCGCCGCAGUAAAAC
rnacentral:rRNA from 1 species